rfam:Brassica napus, WGS project CCCW01000000 data, contig: 8691
GGGGGUGUAGCUCAUAUGGUAGAGCGCUCGCUUUGCAUGCGAGAGGCACGGUGUUCGAUUAUCGCACCUCCA